rnacentral:ncRNA from 1 species
ACACUUGCCGCACUUUUUGGUGCUCGCAUUCGCGAAUCUCGCGGAUGCAGUCAAACGGGAAACAGGGAGCGAAGUCUCGAAGUCCGACCGGGACGAGCCAACCUGUGCUGCCCCCGCAACGGUAAGCGACCGCAACGCAAGUUGCAAGUCGUCUCAUGCGCGUUUUUGCAGCGCGAGCGUGUCGAAUUUCAUCGCACGGACUCGACUGCAAGAAACGUGUCGACGCCACUGCGCACGAUGCGCGGGAAGGCGAGACGAUCCGUCGCCAGCCCGGAUACCGGCCAAAGCUCGACGCAUCGG